rfam:Xanthomonas fragariae strain PD5205 genome assembly, chromosome: 1
AUGUACCACGCGUACACCCCGGUUCCUCCGCGCCGUCCGCAUUCCCUGACCAGUGCUCGCGGUGCUUUGUUAACC